UUCCUGUAAGGGCAAUCGGACCCUUUCCGGUGAGGGAACCUCUCUCCAGACAUGAUCAAGAGAAACUGGCGAGGGACUGACAUGAUCUAGCUUACCUUGGGUCACCGAACGGAUUUGGCAUGUGACAUAAUUAUCCCAGCGAUCACUAAAACUGUAAAUUUGGAUGCUCCACCCAUUUAUGGAAAUUUAAGAUUUGCAGCUUGCUUGCUUGCUGAGUGGAAAAUGAUUCUUUCCCAGUUCUCCUUGGUUUCUUCCUUUCAUGAAUUGAUUAACACUGAGAGAUUAUGUUUUAAUUAUGUCGACUAGAGGUUUUAAAUGAUUCUAGGUUUCUGUGUCCAUUUGUUUUCCUAGGUUUGGGGAAUUUGCUACUGCAAUAUCGUUGUGUAGAUAUUCUUUGCUUUAGUGAGAAACUCAGCUCCUUCUACUCUGUGGUUCUUAGCUUUAGUCUAUUGUACACAUCACAGAGUUAAUGAAAGCUGUGGUCAUACUUGAUUUUUUCUUCAUUACUAUUGAAAUAAAGCAUAUCCUUG
ensembl:processed_transcript 2810403D21Rik RIKEN cDNA 2810403D21 gene